CAGCCGCCACGGGAAUACGAAGGGGGCUAGCGUUGCUCGGAAUGACUGGGCGUAAAGGGCGCGUAGGCGGUUCGUACAGUCGGAUGUGAAAUUCCUUGGCUUAACCUGGGGGCUGCAUUCGAUACGUGCGGGCUUGAGUGUGGAAGAGGGUUGUGGAAUUCCCAGUGUAGAGGUGAAAUUCGUAGAUAUUGGGAAGAACACCGGUGGCGAAGGCGGCAACCUGGUCCAUGACUGACGCUGAGGCGCGAAAGCGUGGGGAGCAAACAGGAUUAGAUACCCGCGUAGUCCCUGUCUCUUAUAC
rnacentral:rRNA from 1 species